rnacentral:rRNA from 1 species
UUGACCUCGGAUCAGGUAGGAAUACCCGGUGAACUUAAGCAUAUCAAU